ensembl:lncRNA
UUAUGGAGAGAGAGUUAACUCAGUUACUUUCAGAAUUUUCUGUCUGCCUACAAAUCUUGCCACCUUUUCACCUGCCAGGAUAUUGAUCCUCCCAUAGUUAAUGAAUAACAUGGUUUCUUGAUACACAAUGUAACUUGUCAUGGCCUUGGGUUUGUCAUGUCUUGGCCUUGGGUUUGUGGUGAUUAUAUUAAGUUUUUCCCUUCCACUUCCAUACAGAAAGAUGGUACACUCACCCACCAUGUAUGAGUAAUCCUUUCAUCUCCUCUUUUCUGUUCCCUGAUGACCUCCCCACUGGCUGAGUUGGAAUCCAUCCCCUGAAUUCUUGAAAUCCAGGACCAUAAUUAAGACUUAGUAACAUGCGAAUCCUUGCCUUCACUGAGAGCUAGGAGGAAGAAGACAAUGUUGGUCAUGGGAAAAGCUGUGGGUUCUGCCAACCCAAUCUCCAGGUGUGUUCAAGGGCUCGUGACUCAGAAGUGGGGAAACUCGAGCAAGUACAAGCAGCCACAUGACCCUGAGAGGCUCUGAAGUGAGACACAGUGUUUCAAGCAAAAGCCCAAACGUAUGUCUCUGCCCGGGAAUGUCCAAAGCCUCCCCUUGUGUUCCAGCCU